UACGGAGGGUGCGAGCGUUGUCCGGAAUCACUGGGCGUAAAGGGCGCGUAGGCGGCGCGGGAAGUCCGUGGUGAAAGCCCGAGGCUCAACUUCGGGUCGGCCAUGGAUACUCCUGGGCUUGAGCACUGUAGAGGCAGGUGGAAUUCCGGGUGUAGCGGUGGAAUGCGUAGAGAUCCGGAAGAACACCGGUGGCGAAGGCGGUGGCUGGGCCGGCACUGACGCUGAGGAGCGAAAGCGUGGGGAGCGAACAGG
rnacentral:rRNA from 1 species